UACAGAGGUCUCAAGCGUUGUUCGGAUUCAUUGGGCGUAAAGGGUGCGUAGGUGGCGGGGUAAGUUGGAUGUGAAAUCUCGGAGCUCAACUCCGAAACUGCAUUCAAUACUGCCUUGCUGGAGUACUGGGGAGGAGAUUGGAAUUUACGGUGUAGCAGUGAAAUGCGUAGAUAUCGUAAGGAAGACCAGUGGCGAAGGCGGAUCUCUGGACAGUUACUGACACUGAGGCACGAAGGCCAGGGGAGCAAACGGG
rnacentral:rRNA from 1 species